rnacentral:rRNA from 3 species
UACCAGCACCCCGAGUGGUCGGGACGAUUAUUGGGCCUAAAGCAUCCGUAGCCGGUUCUACAAGUCUUCCGUUAAAUCCACCUGCUUAACAGAUGGGCUGCGGAGGAUACUAUAGAGCUAGGAGGCGGGAGAGGCAAGCGGUACUUAGUGGGUAGGGGUAAAAUCCGUUGAUCCAUUGAAGACCACCAGUGGCGAAGGCGGCUUGCCAGAACGCACUCGACGGUGAGGGAUGAAAGCUGGGGGAGCAAACCGG